CCUUCGGGUUGUAAACCACUUUUGUCAGGGAAGAAACGGCUCCCACUAAUACUGGGGGCUAAUGACGGUACCUGAAGAAUAAGCACCGGCUAACUACGUGCCAGCAGCCGCGGUAAUACGUAGGGUGCAAGCGUUAAUCGGAAUUACUGGGCGUAAAGCGUGCGCAGGCGGCUUUGCAAGUCAGAUGUGAAAUCCCCGGGCUCAACCUGGGAACUGCAUUUGUGACUGCAUGGCUAGAGUGCGGCAGAGGGGGAUGGAAUUCCGCGUGUAGCAGUGAAAUGCGUAGAUAUGCGGAGGAACACCGAUGGCGAAGGCAACCCCCUGGCCUGCACUGACGCUCAGCAGCG
rnacentral:rRNA from 1 species